rnacentral:snoRNA from 1 species
GCAUCAAAUGAUGAUCAUCACCUAUUACACUUUUUCUGGUACCUCUUAUUUUAAGGUCUUCGGGCCUAAUGAAUGAAACGGACUUCUGAUA